UGAGGUCAAGCUACUAAGGGUGCAGGGUGGAUGCCUUGGCAUCGAGAGGCGAUGAAAGACGUGGUAGCCUGCGAUAAGCUUCGGGAAGCCGGCAAACAGGCAGUGAUCCGAAGAUUUCUGAAUGGGGAAACCCGGCGCGCAAGCGUCAUCCGGCGGUGAAUGUAUAGCCGUCGGAAGCGAACCCAGGGAACUGAAACAUCUAAGUACCUGGAGGAAAAGAAAGAGACAUCGAUUCCGUCAGUAGCGGCGAGCGAACGCGGAGAUAGCCCAAACCAGGCUUCGGCCUGGGGUUGUGGACCCUCGAGGGGUUACAAAACCGACGGUAGUGGAAGCUUCUGGAAAGAGGCGCCACAGAGGGUGAAAGCCCCGUACACGAAACCGUCAGGUCCCCGUUGAGAGGGAAUCCAGAGUAGCACGGGGCUCGUGGAACCCCGUGUGAAGCAGCCCGGACCACCGGGCAAGGCUAAAUACUCCUCGAUGACCGAUAGUGAACCAGUAGGGCGAUUGAACGGUGAAAAGUACAGCGACGAGCUGAGUCAAAAGUACCUGAAACCCUGCACUUACAAGCGGUCGGAGCCCUAUGCCCGCAAGGGAAAUGGGUGACGGCGUACCUUUUGCAUAAUGGACCGGCGAGUGCACGUCAGCGGCGAGGCUAAGUCGCAAUGAGCGAUGGAGCCGAAGCGAAAGCGAGUCUUAAGAUGGCGACAGAGUCGUUGGCGUGCGACCCGAAACCACGUGAUCUACCCAUGAGCAGGUUGCAUGUCCCGUAACAGGGGCAGAAGGACCGAAGCCGUGAACGUUGAAAAGUUCUGGCAUGACUUGUGGGGAGGACUGAAAGUGUAAUCAAACGUGGAGAUAUCUGGUUCUCCUCGAAAUGCCUUUUGGGGCAGCCUCGAGCCACUACUUCCAGGGGGUAGAGCUACUGAAAGGGGACGUGGGGCUACCCGCCUACACGCCCCUACCAAACUCCGAAUACCUGGAAGACUAUCUCGGGAGUGAGUCCGCGAGGGAUAAUCUUCGCGGUCAAAAGGGAAACAACCCUGACCGCCCGCUAAGGCCCCUAAACUUCGCUUAGUUCGUGAGGAAGUCGUUCUGCUGAGACAGCCAGGAUGUUGGCUUAGAAGCAGCCACCAUUUAAAAAGUGCGUAAUAGCUUACUGGUCGAGCAG
rnacentral:rRNA from 1 species